UGGUCAUACCAUGCUGAAUAUACCGGUUCUCGUUAGAUCACCGAAGUCAAGCAUCAUUGGGCGUGGUCAGUACUUGGGUGGGUGACCACCUGGGAACACCGCGUGCCGUU
rnacentral:rRNA from 1 species